rnacentral:rRNA from 1 species
AUUGAACGCUGGCGGCAUGCCUUACACAUGCAAGUCGAACGGUAACGGGCCUUCGGGUGCCGACGAGUGGCGAACGGGUGAGUAAUACAUCGGAACGUGCCCGAUCGUGGGGGAUAACGAGGCGAAAGCUUUGCUAAUACCGCAUACGAUCUACGGAUGAAAGCAGGGGACCGCAAGGCCUUGCGCGGACGGAGCGGCCGAUGGCAGAUUAGGUAGUUGGUGGUAUAAAAGCUUACCAAGCCGACGAUCUGUAGCUGGUCUGAGAGGAUGAUCAGCCACACUGGGACUGAGACACGGCCCAGACUCCUACGGGAGGCAGCAGUGGGGAAUUUUGGACAAUGGGCGCAAGCCUGAUCCAGCCAUGCCGCGUGCAGGAUGAAGGCCUUCGGGUUGUAAACUGCUUUUGUACGGAACGAAAAGCCUUCUUUUAAUACAGGAGGGUCAUGACGGUACCGUAAGAAUAAGCACCGGCUAACUACGUG